UACGUAGGGUGCGAGCGUUGUCCGGAAUUACUGGGCGUAAAGAGCUCGUAGGUGGUUUGUCGCGUUGUUCGUGAAAACUCACAGCUCAACUGUGGGCGUGCGGGCGAUACGGGCAGACUGGAGUACUGCAGGGGAGACUGGAAUUCCUGGUGUAGCGGUGGAAUGCGCAGACAUCAGGAGGAACACCGGUGGCGAAGGCGGGUCUCUGGGCAGUAACUGACGCUGAGGAGCGAAAGCGUGGGGAGCGAACAGG
rnacentral:rRNA from 1 species